rnacentral:lncRNA from 1 species
AGUCGAUGUCUUUUCCUGGUGCCUGGGAACCAGCAUGGCUGCUGUAAAGGCCAUGAGCUAUGAGCUUAUGACAAGCCCCAUAGCAAGGAAGCUAAUCCCCAAACUACAGACUGAACCCAAAAAAAACUGUGAGUCAAAAUAAACUUCUGUUUUUUCAAAAUGGGUUCAUUUUGGAUAUUUGUUAUAAUAAUAAAAAAGCAAGCGGAUUAUUUACAGUAGAAACUAUCAAUAAAAUGGAGGGUAACUCCCCCUCUUGAUAGAACUGAAAUUAACUUGUUGAACUCCCAAACCUGGGCUGCUACUCACUACUCUAAAAUAUUAUAGUUUGUGUUUUACUAAAGCCUUUCUUGUUUCUUAGUUUAGAGGGCCAUCCUUUAUUUUGCCAUCAAAACUUUGAAAGCAGAGCACCAUGUCCCCUGUUCCUGCUAUAGCUUCUUCUGCUCACCCUCCUUGGGGACCCAGAGGUCCUGUUAACACCUCAUAAUAAAUCCCCCACCCCAGCACCAGCCAGAGCUUUUGGCUUCCAUGGUUAGCUUGUGUGGCAGUCAACAAUCCCACACUUAAAGUCACUGGUUGACCGAGCAGCAAAGUUGAGGGCCAGCUUUGUGCUCCAGAGGGCAAUAAAUCCAGCCCCACAUGAGCUAUGGAGAAGUGCAGAAACUAUCAUGUUAUCUUAUCACCUGGGCCAUUCAGGUCUUGCAUGAAGAAAUCCCUGGAUCAGAGUCAAAAUCGACUCCAGCCGACAUGUCUUCUAAAUAACCAUUGUUUAUUCAGAGUUUGAUAAUUAAUCAACUCCGCAAACAUUUAUUUAGCGCUUACAGUAUUCCAGGCGUUGAGCUAGUCACAAUGGGGGAACGUAAGUGAACAAGAGUCCCUGUUGUCAGGAUGCCCAGCUAACCAGAUAAUUAAUUAUUUGACAAUGUAUUGAAUAUGCUGGUGGAGACAUGCCCACAGAGUACACAGCAAGGGCAACGAGGCUGGGUGUGGUGACACACACCUGUAAUCCUAGCACGCAGGAUGUAGGCGGUGAAGACAGGAGGACUAAGGAGCCGAGGUCAUCCUCAGCUACACAACAAGUUCAAGGCUAGCUUGGGAUACGUUGAGACCCUGUCUCAGUCUCCCUCUGCCCCUUGCCAAAAGUGCAAUGACCUCAGCUUGCUUGGGGAGCCUAGAGGGGAUAAGAAGUCCCUGGAUGCAACUUUUGGAGUUCAGUUCUGAC